GAUUGAACGCUGGCGGCAGGCUUAACACAUGCAAGUCGAGCGGUAGCACAGGGGAGCUUGCUCCCUGGGUGACGAGCGGCGGACGGGUGAGUAAUGUCUGGGAAACUGCCUGAUGGAGGGGGAUAACUACUGGAAACGGUAGCUAAUACCGCAUAACGUCGCAAGACCAAAGAGGGGGACCUUCGGGCCUCUUGCCAUCAGAUGUGCCCAGAUGGGAUUAGCUAGUAGGUGGGGUAAUGGCUCACCUAGGCGACGAUCCCUAGCUGGUCUGAGAGGAUGACCAGCCACACUGGAACUGAGACACGGUCCAGACUCCUACGGGAGGCAGCAGUGGGGAAUAUUGCACAAUGGGCGCAAGCCUGAUGCAGCCAUGCCGCGUGUGUGAAGAAGGCCUUCGGGUUGUAAAGCACUUUCAGCGAGGAGGAAGGUGGUGAGCUUAAUACGUUCAUCAAUUGACGUUACUCGCAGAAGAAGCACCGGCUAACUCCGUG
rnacentral:rRNA from 1 species